rnacentral:lncRNA from 1 species
CACAAGCUUACCAAAAUGACUAGCCAGGUAUGCGAAGCCAUCAUCGUGCCAAAUAGCAAGAGGGACGUUACGAAAUCUGAUCCAAAUUGGGAUAGAAGAAGGUUCAGCCUUGAUCAAGUCCAAACCCUGCUGCCAUCGAGUGCCCCAAAUGGUCUUGGUCCAGUAAGUUGCACAGUGGAUAGAUUUCUUACCACCAACAAACACUGAGGUGUAAGUUGCACAGUGGAUAGAUUUCUUACCACCAACAAACACUGAGGGAAACUUGAGAGGACGGAUCUUAUGAUGGAAUAAGGAGAAGCCCCUUGAAGAAGAAUCAGGAUCAUCACUCACGUGACCACCUGAAGAGCAGGAGGCAGCCUCACAGACGAGGAGAUAAGAAGUCACCAAAGUGAGCAGAGGACUCUGCCACAGAGUAUUUUAUGAAAAUAGCCUCAAAAAAAAC